AAUUAUUAUAGCUAAAUCACAGUCUAACGGGAAUUGGAAGAAUUACAAGGAUUGGAUUAAACGAGGAUAUCGAAAGGCUGAGAUUGAUAGGUCCCUUAUUGAAGAACCAGUGGAAGAAGUCAUCAUCGAUAGCGAAAACGGGAACAUAUCUAAUACUACCGAUCCUGAUAAAGAAGAUGAUGGAAAUGCGACCGAUGUCACUCUCUCAGCAAAUAAUUCUGAUAAAGAAUUCGACGGAAAUGUGACCAAUGUCACUCUCUCGACAAAUAACUCUG